GUCUGAAUUCCAUAUAAUCCCUAUCAGGGAUUGAAAC
rfam:Microcoleus sp. PCC 7113, complete genome.